AGUCGAGGGGAAACGAUGGGAGGGCUUGCCCUCCCAGGCGUCGACCGGCGCACGGGUGAGUAACACGUAUCCAACCUGCCCUCUUCCGGGGAACAACCUUGCGAAAGUAAGACUAAUGCCCCAUGUGUCCUCAGACGGCAUCAGACGAGGACGAAAGAUUUAUCGGAAGUGGAUGGGGAUGCGCCUGAUUAGGCAGUUGGCGGGGCAACGGCCCACCAAGCCGACGAUCAGUAGGGGUUCUGAGAGGAAGGUCCCCCACAUUGGAACUGAGACACGGUCCAAACUCCUACGGGAGGCAGCAGUGAGGAAUAUUGGUCAAUGGGCGAGAGCCUGAACCAGCCAAGUAGCGUGCAGGACGACGGCCCUAUGGGUUGUAAACUGCUUUUGCGCGGGGAUAAAGUGCGCCACGUGUGGCUCAUUGCAGGUACCGCGCGAAUAAGGACCGGCUAAUUCCGUGUCAGCAGCCGCGGUAAUACGGAAGGUCCAGGCGUUAUCCGGAUUCAUUGGGUUUAAAGGGAGCGCAGGCCGCCCCUUAAGCGUGUUGUGAAAUGCCGCGGCUCAACCGUGGCACUGCAGCGCGAACUGGGGGGCUUGAGUGCGCGCAGCGCAGGCGGAACUCGUGGUGUAGCGGUGAAA
rnacentral:rRNA from 1 species